rnacentral:rRNA from 2 species
UCCUACGGGAGGCAGCAGCGAGGAAUUUUGCGCAAUGGGCGAAAGCCUGACGCAGCAACGCCGCGUGGGUGAUGAAGGCCUUCGGGUCGUAAAGCCCUUUUGUCGGGGAAGACAACGACGGUACCCGACGAAGAAGCCACGGCUAACUACGUGCCAGCAGCCGCGGUA